AAGUCGUAACAAGGUUUCCGUAGGUGAACCUGCGGAAGGAUCAUUAAGGAGGGUAAUAUCAAAGCACGGUGCACGAAUAAGGAUACACGAGAAAAAAGAUUAAUAGGGUUAAAGAAAAAUAAAACACAACUUUUAGCAACGGAUCUCUAGGCUCUC
rnacentral:misc_RNA from 1 species